UUAAGUUAUUAAGGGCGCACGGUGGAUGCCUUGGCACUAGAAGCCGAUGAAGGACGUUACUAACGACGAUAUGCUUUGGGGAGCUGUAAGUAAGCUUUGAUCCAGAGAUUUCCGAAUGGGGAAACCCAGCAUGAGUUAUGUCAUGUUAUCGAUAUGUGAAUACAUACAUAUCAGAAGGCACACCCGGAGAACUGAAACAUCUUAGUACCCGGAGGAAGAGAAAGAAAAUUCGAUUCCCUUAGUAGCGGCGAGCGAAACGGGAAGAGCCCAAACCAAAAAGCUUGCUUGUUGGGGUUGUAGGACACUCUAUACGGAGUUACAAAGGACGACAUUAGACGAAUCAUCUGGAAAGAUGAAUCAAAGAAGGUAAUAAUCCUGUAGUCGAAAAUGUUGUCUCUCUUGAGUGGAUCCUGAGUACGACGGAGCACGUGAAAUUCCGUCGGAAUCUGGGAGGACCAUCUCCUAAGGCUAAAUACUCUCUAGUGACCGAUAGUGAACCAGUACCGUGAGGGAAAGGUGAAAAGCACCCCGGAAGGGGAGUGAAAUAGAACCUGAAACCGUGUGCUUACAAGUAGUCAGAGCCCGUUAAUGGGUGAUGGCGUGCCUUUUGUAGAAUGAACCGGCGAGUUACGAUUUGAUGCAAGGUUAAGCAGUAAAUGUGGAGCCGUAGCGAAAGCGAGUCUGAAUAGGGCGUUUAGUAUUUGGUCGUAGACCCGAAACCAGGUGAUCUACCCUUGGUCAGGUUGAAGUUCAGGUAACACUGAAUGGAGGACCGAACCGACUUACGUUGAAAAGUGAGCGGAUGAACUGAGGGUAGCGGAGAAAUUCCAAUCGAACCUGGAGAUAGCUGGUUCUCUCCGAAAUAGCUUUAGGGCUAGCCUCAAGUGAUGAUUAUUGGAGGUAGAGCACUGUUUGGACGAGGGGCCCCUCUCGGGUUACCGAAUUCAGACAAACUCCGAAUGCCAAUUAAUUUAACUUGGGAGUCAGAACAUGGGUGAUAAGGUCCGUGUUCGAAAGGGAAACAGCCCAGACCACCAGCUAAGGUCCCAAAAUAUAUGUUAAGUGGAAAAGGAUGUGGCGUUGCCCAGACAACUAGGAUGUUGGCUUAGAAGCAGCCAUCAUUUAAAGAGUGCGUAAUAGCUCACUAGUCGAGUGACACUGCGCCGAAAAUGUACCGGGGCUAAACAUAUUACCGAAGCUGUGGAUUGUCCUUUGGACAAUGGUAGGAGAGCGUUCUAAGGGCGUUGAAGCAUGAUCGUAAGGACAUGUGGAGCGCUUAGAAGUGAGAAUGCCGGUGUGAGUAGCGAAAGACGGGUGAGAAUCCCGUCCACCGAUUGACUAAGGUUUCCAGAGGAAGGCUCGUCCGCUCUGGGUUAGUCGGGUCCUAAGCUGAGGCCGACAGGCGUAGGCGAUGGAUAACAGGUUGAUAUUCCUGUACCACCUAUAAUCGUUUUAAUCGAUGGGGGGACGCAGUAGGAUAGGCGAAGCGUGCGAUUGGAUUGCACGUCUAAGCAGUAAGGCUGAGUAUUAGGCAAAUCCGGUACUCGUUAAGGCUGAGCUGUGAUGGGGAGAAGACAUUGAGUCUUCGAGUCGUUGAUUUCACACUGCCGAGAAAAGCCUCUAGAUAGAAAAUAGGUGCCCGUACCGCAAACCGACACAGGUAGUCAAGAUGAGAAUUCUAAGGUGAGCGAGCGAACUCUCGUUAAGGAACUCGGCAAAAUGACCCCGUAACUUCGGGAGAAGGGGUGCUCUUUAGGGUUAACGCCCAGAAGAGCCGCAGUGAAUAGGCCCAAGCGACUGUUUAUCAAAAACACAGGUCUCUGCUAAACCGUAAGGUGAUGUAUAGGGGCUGACGCCUGCCCGGUGCUGGAAGGUUAAGAGGAGUGGUUAGCUUCUGCGAAGCUACGAAUCGAAGCCCCAGUAAACGGCGGCCGUAACUAUAACGGUCCUAAGGUAGCGAAAUUCCUUGUCGGGUAAGUUCCGACCCGCACGAAAGGCGUAACGAUUUGGGCACUGUCUCAACGAGAGACUCGGUGAAAUCAUAGUACCUGUGAAGAUGCAGGUUACCCGCGACAGGACGGAAAGACCCCGUGGAGCUUUACUGUAGCCUGAUAUUGAAAUUCGGCACAGCUUGUACAGGAUAGGUAGGAGCCUUUGAAACGUGAGCGCUAGCUUACGUGGAGGCGCUGGUGGGAUACUACCCUAGCUGUGUUGGCUUUCUAACCCGCACCACUUAUCGUGGUGGGAGACAGUGUCAAGCGGGCAGUUUGACUGGGGCGGUCGCCUCCUAAAAGGUAACGGAGGCGCUCAAAGGUUCCCUCAGAAUGGUUGGAAAUCAUUCAUAGAGUGUAAAGGCAUAAGGGAGCUUGACUGCGAGACCUACAAGUCGAGCAGGGUCGAAAGACGGACUUAGUGAUCCGGUGGUUCCGCAUGGAAGGGCCAUCGCUCAACGGAUAAAAGCUACCCCGGGGAUAACAGGCUUAUCUCCCCCAAGAGUUCACAUCGACGGGGAGGUUUGGCACCUCGAUGUCGGCUCAUCGCAUCCUGGGGCUGUAGUCGGUCCCAAGGGUUGGGCUGUUCGCCCAUUAAAGCGGUACGCGAGCUGGGUUCAGAACGUCGUGAGACAGUUCGGUCCCUAUCCGUCGUGGGCGUAGGAAAUUUGAGAGGAGCUGUCCUUAGUACGAGAGGACCGGGAUGGACAUACCUCUGGUGUACCAGUUGUCGUGCCAACGGCAUAGCUGGGUAGCUAUGUGUGGACGGGAUAAGUGCUGAAAGCAUCUAAGCAUGAAGCCCCCCUCAAGAUGAGAUUUCCCAACUUCGGUUAUAAGAUCCCUCAAAGAUGAUGAGGUUAAUAGGUUCGAGGUGGAAGCAUGGUGACAUGUGGAGCUGACGAAUACUAAUCGAUCGAAGACUUAAUCAA
rnacentral:rRNA from 1 species